UGGUGCAGUGGUUAGGCACUGGGCUGCUAACCCAAGGACUGGUGGUUCGAAUCCACC
rnacentral:tRNA from 1 species